GCUGAAGUGGCGGAAUUGGCAGACGCACCAGACUCAAAAUCUGGCGAUGGUGACAUUGUAAGGGUUCAAGUCCCUUCUUCAGCACCA
rnacentral:tRNA from 1 species